ACGGGUGAGUAACACGUGGGUGAUCUGCCCUGCACUUCGGGAUAAGCCUGGGAAACUGGGUCUAAUACCGAAUAUGACCUCCUAUCGCAUGGUGGGUGGUGGAAAGAUUUAUCGGUGCAGGAUGGGCCCGCGGCCUAUCAGCUUGUUGGUGGGGUAAUGGCCUACCAAGGCGACGACGGGUAGCCGACCUGAGAGGGUGACCGGCCACACUGGGACUGAGACACGGCCCAGACUCCUACGGGAGGCAGCAGUGGGGAAUAUUGCACAAUGGGCGAAAGCCUGAUGCAGCGACGCCGCGUGAGGGAUGACGGCCUUCGGGUUGUAAACCUCUUUCAGCAGGGACGAAGCGCAAGUGACGGUACCUGCAGAAGAAGCACCGGCUAACUACGUGCCAGCAGCCGCGGUAAUACGUAGGGUGCAAGCGUUGUCCGGAAUUACUGGGCGUAAAGAGUUCGUAGGCGGUUUGUCGCGUCGUUUGUGAAAACCAGCAGCUCAACUGCUGGCUUGCAGGCGAUACGGGCAGACUUGAGUACUGCAGGGGAGACUGGAAUUCCUGGUGUAGCGGUGAAAUGCGCAGA
rnacentral:rRNA from 1 species